GACGAACGCUGGCGGCGUGCUUAACACAUGCAAGUCGAACGGAAAGGCCCUGCUUUUGUGGGGUGCUCGAGUGGCGAACGGGUGAGUAACACGUGAGUAACCUGCCCUUGACUUUGGGAUAACUUCAGGAAACUGGGGCUAAUACCGGAUAGGAGCUCCUGCUGCAUGGUGGGGGUUGGAAAGAUUCGGCGGUUGGGGAUGGAAUCGCGGCUUAUCAGCUUGUUGGUGGGGUAGUGGCUUACCAAGGCUUUGACGGGUAGCCGGCCUGAGAGGGGGACCGGCGACAUGGGGACUGAGGUACGGAGCAGACGCGUACGGGAGGCAGCGGGGGGGAAUAUGGCACAAUGAGCGGGAGCCUGAUACGGCAGCGCCGGGAGCGGAAUGACGGCCUUCGGGGUGUAAACCGAUUUCGCCUGUGACGAAGCGUGAGUGACGGUAAUGGGUAAAGAAGCACCGGCUAACUACGUG
rnacentral:rRNA from 1 species